rnacentral:rRNA from 1 species
AGAGUUUGAUCAUGGCUCAGGAUGAACGUUGGCGGCGUGCCUAAUACAUGCAAGUCGAACGAAGACCGUAGUAAUACUGUCUUAGUGGCGAACGGGUGAGUAACGCGUGGGUGACCUGCCCCGAAGUGUGGGAUAACAGUUCGAAAGGACUGCUAAUACCGCAUAAUAUCCAAGAGAUUAGACGCUUUUGGAUUAAAGGAGUAAUUCGCUUCGGGAGGGGCCCGCGUCCCAUCAGCUAGUUGGUAAGGUAAUGGCUUACCAAGGCGAUGACGGGUAGGGGACCUGAGAGGGUGGCCCCCCACAAUGGAACUGAAACACGGUCCAUACACCUACGGGUGGCAGCAGUAGGGAAUAUUAGUAAUGGGCGAAAGCCUGAACUAGCAACGCCGCGUGUGCGAAGAAGGCCUUCGGGUUGUAAAGCACUUUUUGAGAGGAUGAGGAAGGACGGUACUCUCAGAAUAAGUCUCGGCUAACUACGUGCCAGCAGCCGCGGUAACACGUAGGAGGCAAACGUUAUCCGGAUUUACUGGGCGUAAAGCGCGUGUAGGUGGUUUGGUAAGUAGGGCGUGAAAGCUCCUGGCUCAACUGGGAGAGGACGUUCUAAACUACCAAGCUUGAGGAUGGUAGAGGGAGGUGGAAUUCCGGGUGUAGCGGUGGAAUGCGCAGAUAUCCGGAGGAACACCAGUGGCGAAGGCGGCCUCCUGGACCAUUCCUGACACUCAGACGCGAAAGCUAGGGUAGCAAACGGGAUUAGAGACCCCGGUAGUCCUAGCCCUAAACGAUGUAGACUUGGCGUCGGUGGUUUAAACGCCAUCGGUGUCGGAGCUAACGCGUUAAGUCUACCGCCUGGGGACUACGGCCGCAAGGGUUAAAACUCAAAGGAAUUGACGG